rnacentral:snRNA from 1 species
GUGCUUGCUUCAGCAGCACAUAUACUAAAAUUGGAACAAUAUAGAGAAGAUUAGCAUGGCCCCUGUGCAAGGAUCACAUGCAAAUUUAUGAAGCCUUCCAUAUUUUU